CUUAUCUCCUUUCUAAAAGAACUGUCACAAUCUGCAAGAGCUUGCCUUUCAUUAAUUUGUUUUGCCAUAUUUAUUUACCUUUCAGAGAGAAAAAAAACAUGCAUAAUUACUGAUUAAAAGUUUGAGAAAUGUUUGAUAAUGUCAUCCUUAUUUAUCUUUGUAGGUUUGAUUGCUUGGCUCACCUGAAUGUGAUUUCUAAUGCUGAUGUAGGAGAAAUACAGGAUGAACUCACUGAGAUCCUCGCCAAGCGUUACAAAAUUGACCACUAUGAAAUAAAAACAGAUGCUAACUUCAUCUUCAUAUAUACUCUUGAUGAUCUCUUGCCGGACCUGGACACAAACCCACCCUUAACCGCGACUGAGUCUCUGCCUCAUACAACUGAAACACAAACAACCACAAUUCCUCAGCUGACGUCUACAACUACUGAAAUUAUUACUACUGCACAAACAACAGGCACAACACCCAAUCAAGUGGCAAUAACAACAGAAGUUGUUUCAUCCUCAACUGAAACAAAAAAAAUCACUACCUCCACACCAUCCAUGGAAACAACCCUGGCAGGAAGUUCCACGACUUUUUUAUCCUCCACAAGAAGUCUUACAUUAAAUACAGCCGCAUGCUCUUCUACUAUUUCACCUGAAGGAAACAUAUCAGGUCAAAAAUUGCCUUUUUGUUUUCUGUUAUAAAACCAUGUUCUUCAAUCUCAUAAGCAGUUCAUGAUUUUACAAUGUAUGGAAUAUUUAACAAUGUCUCUCUGUAUUGAAUAUAGAAAGUUAUUUUAGUGUCAAUGUCAAUGUGACUAUCAAUGGCUCUGGUGACCCUGAGAACAUAAUUACAACCUGGGUAAGAUAUAAAACUAAGAGAACCUAAAUUCAUCCAAAUACGUUGCAUGUCAAACAGGAAAUAAGUAUCACAUCUCUGCAUCACGUCACAGUUGUUUUAUCAUCACUGCAGCUUCAUGAAACUCUUUCUGGUAAAGGAAUACAUGUGUUGCAUUUUAAACUCUUGACUUCCUCAACACAUGCACAGAAACGAAGGUUAGUCAGUCUUCUUGUUAUUGCAGAGAACAGACCAAACCCCAAGACACACUAUAGAAUUUUUUUAACAUGUCUGAUUUACGUUUGCAGUGUGGAAACAGAAUCAUUCAAAGUGGAAAGAAAGGUAAAAACUUCCAAAUAUUAACAGCAAUUUUCCUUUUUUGUCUACUGAAAUGAACAUUAAAAAAAAAAAAAAAAUUUAUUUAUGUUUGUUUUAGAAAUGUUAACUGAAAUUAAAAAUGUUUCUCUAUAUUAGAUACACAAAAAUAAUUCAGUUUUCUAUUAUCUUGUUUAUUUGCCUUGCAGCGGUCUCUGCUUUCAGUAACAAGGUGAGAUGUUCAUUACAAGACAGCAGUUCAGAAAAGUAAACAAUAGUAAACAAUAAUUGUUGUGAACAUACGAUGUGUUUUAAUGGGGUUAUCUGAUAUGGCUUGUUCCCAGCCAUAGCUGUGUCUUUCAUGCCCAGGUAACAACUUACACAGACAUCAGAGAAACAGAAAAAUGGAUUCAUGGGCUUCUGGAGAAACAAUACACCAGUGGAGCAGUACUCUUACAACCUGAGGACAUUUUAAUUUCUUAUAUUGGUAUGUGAUACAUCUGAAGAAAAAUAAAAUCAGAUGAUGACAGAAUCAGACUAUGAUACAUUCUCAGUAAUACAUACCUGUGUUUGAUUGUAA
ensembl:lncRNA